GAUGAACGCUGGCGGCGUGCCUAAUACAUGCAAGUCGAGCGAACAGACGAGGAGCUUGCUCCUCUGACGUUAGCGGCGGACGGGUGAGUAACACGUGGAUAACCUACCUAUAAGACUGGGAUAACUUCGGGAAACCGGAGCUAAUACCGGAGAAUAUAUUGAACCGCAUGGUUCAAUAGUGAAAGACGGUGUUGCUGUCACUUAUAGAUGGAUCCGCGCCGCAUUAGCUAGUUGGUAAGGUAACGGCUUACCAAGGCAACGAUGCGUAGCCGACCUGAGAGACUGAUCGGCCACACUGGAACUGAGACGCGCUCCAGACUCCUACGGGAGGCAGCAGUAGGGAACCUUCGGCAAUGGGCGAAAGCCUGACGGAGCAACGCCGCGUGAGUGAUGACGGCCUUCGGAUCGUAAAACUCUGUUAUUAGGGAAGAACAACUGUGUAAGUAACUAUGCACGUCUUGACGGUACCUAAUCAGAAAGCCCCGGCUAACUACGUG
rnacentral:rRNA from 1 species